ensembl:lncRNA
GCUUAACUAGCUAGCUAAUUCAUCAAGGUAAUUACAAAGCUUAACUAGCUAGCUAAUUCAUCAAGGUAAUUACAAAGCUUAACUAGCUAGCUAAGUCAUCAAGGUAAUUACAAAGCUUAACUAGCUAGCUAAUUCAUCAUCUCAUUUAUAAAACUGAACUAAGCUAAUUCAGUCAAUUUAACAUUAAAUCAACACACGUCUUUAGAUUUAACGGUGGAUUUUAGGACAAUAUCUUACUAAGAAAAAAAAGUCUCUUAGCUUUUGAGAUUUUUUCUUCAACAAGUACGUCAAACUGAAAAUGUAGAGUAAAACCUAUGUUGUUUUUCUCUUUAAAUUCUACUUGAGUAAAGUACAGAUUUUCCCAAAGAGUACUUAAGUACAGUAACGACGUACAGUUACUCAAGUAUUUCCCGCUCUACAGUUAAUACUCUAGCUAGCACUUAGCUACAUUAGCCUCGUAGCUGCCUUACAAACGUCAGACAGCAAACAUGGCUGACUGACGACAUUUAGGAGAAGUGGGAAAUUGCUGUAAUGUGUUAAUGUGACGGCUGACGGCUGAACUGAUCCCGAUCCGGUCAGCGAUGUAACACCAGCAGUAGCAUGACACCAGGAUUAGCAUUUCUACCUGUUACAUCUAUUACACCUGUCAUUGACGUUGCGACCGACUCCAAUGCGUUUUGUCGUUGUGCUACAACACGGAUGCUGUGCAUCUCUUAGCAUUUACUGUAUGCUUCAUAGGUUCAAUAUUUAUUUUUGCAUCUAAGUUAUUUAUUUAUUCAUUCUUGUGUAUAAGGAUGUGUUUUUGACCCAUUAUAUAUAGAUAUAUAUUUAUUAACGUGUAUAAUAAUAAUGUUUAUUUGCUUCAUUCCCACCUCAUUUGUUAUUUGAAAUCGGCAAGGCUUUGAUUAAAAAAACAACAACAACAACAACAACAACAACACGCUAAAACCUUUCAAAAAGAAGCCUUUUUUAAUGUUUAUUUUUUAAGAUGUGAAGAGUUUCUAUAAGGAGUUAUAAAACGUUCCGGGUCAGAAUCGAGCUAAUUAAUGUGUGUAUCAUCACACUGACCGCUCGCCUUGUUGCUAUUUACUCUCCCUUUAAAGAAAAGCUGCUCUCGAGGAAAUACUCCAAUGUACAACAGUAGUUAUAGUAGACAUUUAUUAGUUUUUACACAGUAUUUGCAUAUUAUUAUUAUUAUUAUUAUUAUUAUUAUUAUUAUU